UUAGAUAAAAUAGUUGAGAAAUUAAUCCUUUUAUCAUGUCAACAAACUGCAAUUUUUUAAAAUAAUUUUUUUACCAUUGUUUAGUUAAUUAAUCCCUUUAACAUACCCCCCAAAAAUUAGACUGAUUGGCCCAAUUAUAAAAAGGUUACUUCGUUUUAAAAGACGUACGAAUACUUUCUACACCCACUGUAUGUUGUUUGACUGUCUACUCAUGACUACUUCUAUUCGGUUGGCCAAUAGGUUCGUGCAGGUUUUGACGCAUAUAAAUAGGGAGAGAUAUUUUGUAUACAAAGAAAUAUCUUUGUUCAAUUAUAUAAUUAUUAUAUACUUAUUCAAUUAUAUAAGUAUUAUAUAAUUAUUCAAUUAUAUAAUUCAUAAGUCGCUCCAGGUGCUCUUUAACAGCCUCUUUAGAAACGAAUUUCUUCCCAUUUAGCAAAUUUUAUAAAGAACGAAAUAAAUGAAAAUUUGUUGGGACGACAUCUAGAGAAUAUGGUGUAUGGUGCCAUGUCCUAAGUGAAGCGUGGUAUCUAGCGUUGUCAUGGUAAAAGACGAUUCCUUUACGAUUCAGCAGUUCUGAACACUUUUCCUCGAUGAAUCUUUAUAGUUUGUCCAACUGCUCGCAGUACACUUCUGAAUUAACAAUUCUAUUGCUUGGAAGCAAUUCAUAAAACUCUACACCUUUGUAAUCUUAUUAAAUUGAUAGCAUAACUUUUUUUGGUUGCAGGUCUUCUACGAUUAUUUACGUUUAGUGUUAUCGUAGACGAUUCACGUUUUACCUCCCAUAAUCAUUCGCUUGAGAAACGGCUCCCUUUCUUCACAAGGAUAGUAAGCAUAUCAUAGCUUGAAAUGCGGGUUACGCCGAUUCGCUUCAAUCAACGAGUGUGAAACCCAAACGUCAAGCGAGCUGAUGAAAUCAAGUUCAUAAAAGUGAUUCACUAAACUUGACUUCGAUAUUUUUAGAAUCUGGGGAAUAUCCCGCGUUGGCAAAGCGGGUUACACUCAAUUAAAUUCCUCAGUUGAUCAACCAUUUAUAGCAUACACGUUCUUUAACCUAAUCCGACUCGUACAAGUCACACAGUUUUUUACACGUUUGGGUCGCGUUUUUCCUUUUUUUAUAAUAAAAAAGCAUAAUACGUCGUAAAUAUUCUUUGAAGUCGUGCAUGUUCGAUAGAAUAUUUAAUUGUAAAAAUCAUAACCAAUCUUAACAAUUUUGAGUUGAAAAUAUAGGUUAAGUGUUCAAUAUUACUUAACGUUGCCCAUUAUAAAAAAAAAAAGAUUCGGAAUGAAGUUAGUUGUGAACUAGGUAGUUAUUAAAAUACUCUCUUUCUAAUUUUGCUAUUACUUGUAACGACAAGAAAAUAAAAAUCCCUCGUUUUUCAACUUCCUUAUCCAUGCAUAUACCAAAAUUUAGAAAAUGCGUUUUAUACAUCUCGGUAUCCCUGGCAAAAAGUAUUUGGCCAGAAGCAAUAGUAACGAAUUAAUUUAAAAAAAACGAAAUUGUUUGAACCUCAAAUGCUACGACAUAAAUAUAAACUUUAAAUUGGACAUAUCGUCAAUCGUCCUUGGUGAAUAAUGUAGAGAAAUUAAUUCACUAAAACAAAGGCAGAAGAUAACAAUAAGAAUGGUGAAGCAAUACAUUAUCAUGGAGAAAAAUUUUGACCAAUAAAAUGAAAAAUUUUAUGAAAUCGGUAUUAACACUCGUUAAAACAGUCAUAUACAUAGCAUCUCAAAUACUUCUUUCCCCGACAUCGUUUUCUUUGUUUACUGUAUUUUUCAAAUGUGGUUACCUUACAUAAUAAAACAACAAAUCAUAAAUUAAA